rnacentral:rRNA from 1 species
CCUACGGGAGGCAGCAGUGGGGAAUAUUGGACAAUGGGCGAAAGUCUGAUCCAGCAAUGCCGCGUGAGUGAUGAAGGCCUUAGAGUUGUAAAGCUCUUUUACCCGGGAUGAUAAUGACAGUACCGGGAGAAUAAGCCCCGGCUAACUCCGUGCCAGCAGCCGCGGUAAUACGGAGGGGGCUAGCGUUGUUCGGAAUUACUGGGCGUAAAGCGCACGUAGGCGGCUUUGUAAGUUAGAGGUGAAAGCCUGGAGCUCAACUCCAGAAUUGCCUUUAAGACUGCAUCGCUUGAAUCCAGGAGAGGUGAGUGGAAUUCCGAGUGUAGAGGUGAAAUUCGUAGAUAUUCGGAAGAACACCAGUGGCGAAGGCGGCUCACUGGACUGGUAUUGACGCUGAGGUGCGAAAGCGUGGGGAGCAACAGGAUUAGAUACCCUGGUAGUCCACGCCGUAAACGAUGAUAACUAGCUGUCCGGGGACUUGGUCUUUGGGUGGCGCAGCUAACGCAUUAAGUUAUCCGCCUGGGAGUACGGCCGCAGGUUAAACUUAAGGAUUGACGG